rnacentral:piRNA from 1 species
UCCCUCUGUUGAGAAUGGCUGAAGCCAAGAA